rnacentral:rRNA from 1 species
UACGUAGGGGGCGAGCGUUGUCCGGAAUCAUUGGGCGUAAAGAGCGUGUAGGUGGACUGGAAGGUCUGGUGUGAAAGCCCGGGGCUCAACCCCGGAGGGUCACUGGAAACCAACAGUCUUGAGUCUGGAAGAGGAGAGUGGAAUUCCUGGUGUAGCGGUGAAAUGACGCAGAUAUCAGGAGGAACACCGGUGGCGAAGGCGGGUCUCUGGGCCGAUACUGACGCUGAGGAGCGAAAGCGUGGGGAGCAAACAGG